CCAAGAUGAACACACGAGCUCUAUGCUUGGUGGCUCUCUUAUAAUGGUGUCUAGCAUUCUACUAUCAUGCCAUGCAGGUCCAAAACCAACCCCAAUUCCCAACUUAUGUAUGAAGUUCAAAGCCUGCGAGGGAGACUAUGUGUCUGACGAACCAUGCAUGGGACAUUGCGCAUUUUUUGAAUUCAAGCAUGGCCACUGCCAUUCAGAUCAUGGUGGUAUUUGUUGCUGCUCGAACAUCUAAGAAAUGAUGGAUACAUGUUAUUAUCUUAUGCUACAAAAGUAUUGCGUGUAAGAUAGCAUAAACAUACGUGUGCACCAAAAAUUCCAAUAAAGUAUCAUUCAACUUGACUAUGAACAAUUCUUCUUAAUAGUGGAAUCAAUGGUUUCUAUCUUCUA